rnacentral:ncRNA from 1 species
UUAAACACAAUGAAGGAAAGAAACAUACGGAUGUCCUCAGAGAGUCGGUGGGUGGUGCGAACCGAUGGUCUAAACUGUGUUUCAGCAUUCCUGAGUCAUUGCAUUGAAGCGCAAGCCGUAGGUGCAAUCGGUGGAAACCGUUAUUUUUCCGGUCUGCAGACCAAUGAGGCUGUCCGUGCGAGCGGGCGGUGAAUUAGGGUGGUACCACGAAGCUAAACUCUCGUCCCUUAU